AUAAAGGAGCCAUUAGAGGUCGGAUAUGAGAAUUGCUUGGUGGAAAUUAGUGAAGUAGAAAGCAAGAAAAACAAAAGAAAAAAAAUAGAGAGAUGGGAGAGGCUAGGGAUGAAAUCGGAUAGGAGAUAAAAAUCGAGCUAGCCAGGACGAGAAAAAUGAGAGAUCCAUUAGAGCAGAAGGAGAGUUCAAUACGUGAAAAGAAAAAAAAAAAAAGAGAAGAUACCGUAAGAGUUUCUGCGAGCUUUAAUGUGUAGGAAUAGAGUAUAGAAUGGAAUUGGUUUCUGUGUUCAAAAGGGAAGGGUUGAUGUUGAGUACUAAAUUUGAAAUUAUGGUGAUAUGGAUUUAUUCUUUCUCAUAUAAAGAUAAGUGUGCAUUUCUGUGUUCCAUGGGAAGUGUAAUCUGCAUAAUCAUGGGCCCAAUAAUUGGGUCACGGGGUUGACGCCCCGUGUGCUCUGCUGAUGGUGUCAUUGCAUGGGAUCCUUAUAUAUAUAUAUAUAUAUAUAUGUAUGCAUUUUUGUGCUCCAAUGAAGAAGUGAAUAUAUGUGAUAUUGAUGGGCCCAGUUGAUGGCUCAAGUGGCUGGUGCCCCAAUGUUUCUCUUUUUUUUUUUAACGUAAAUUUGCAUGACAUAUUCGAGUACAUAAUUUGGUUUCUGUGUGUGAGUCUCAUCAAUUAGUUUAUGUACAUAAUUUGAUUUUUCCCACCUAGUUAAUGGACGGAAAAAAUUCUCGCGGUCUCGCGGGUACUGGCUGCGGGCAUUUUUGAUGCCUCUUGUUGCGCCAUAUUCUCUGAAAAUGGUGUCAAAAUUUAUUUUUUAAAAAAUAAAAAAUAAAAAAAAUUAUUAACGAAAUUCAAAAUACAAGAAAUUUUAAGUAUUAAUAAAAUUAAAAUGACCAAUAAAACUCAAAAUAAUAAAGUUUGUUAUCUCAGUCUAUCAUAAAAUUUUAGAGGUAUUAUAUUUUUAUGAUAUCCCAAUAUGAUAGUAAGAGGGAGCCAGAUAACAGAAACAAAUACUGAGUGCUAAUAAUUGAAUUAAAUUGAAGCAGAAAAAUAGAAUUUCCUUACAUAAAAAUAUCAAGGUUCACAUUACACCUAAAGCCAAUGACCAACUAUCAAAUUGUGAAUAUACAAAAUAGAGACAUUUAAAUGUUUAUAAAGGAGUCAUCAAAGCGCAAGCGUUACAAAGCACUCAUAAUUAUCCUAAGGAUCCGAAAAGGGAUGCGGA
rnacentral:lncRNA from 1 species